UGGCAGCUGUGUUUCUGUGUGUAUC
rnacentral:misc_RNA from 1 species